rnacentral:rRNA from 1 species
CCUACGGGGGGCUGCAGUGGGGAAUAUUGGGCAAUGGGCGCAAGCCUGACCCAGCAACGCCGCGUGAAGGAAGAAGGCUUUCGGGUUGUAAACUUCUUUUCUCAGGGACGAAGCAAGUGACGGUACCUGAGGAAUAAGCCACCGCUAACUACGUGCCAGCAGCAGCUGCAAUACGUAGGUGGCAAGCGUUAUCCGGAUUUACUGGGUGUAAAGGGCGUGUAGGCGGGGACGCAAGUCAGAUGUGAAAGCUACGGGCUCAACCUGUGGACUGCAUUUGAAACUGUGUUUCUUGAGUACUGGAGAGGUAGACGGAAUUCCUGGUGUAGCGGUGAAAUGCGUAGAUAUUAGGAGGAACACCAGUGGCGAAGGCGGUCUGCUGGACAGCAACUGACGCUGAGGCGCGAAAGCGUGGGGAGCAAACAGGAUUAGAUACCCUUGUAGUC